CCUACGUGAGGCAGCCGUGAGGAAUAUUGGUCAAUGGCCGGAAGGCUGAACCAGCCAAGCCGCGUGAAGGACGAAGGUGCCAAGCAUUGUAAACUUCUUUUGUCAAGGGACAAAAUCAGGCUCGAGAGCCUGACCGAGGGUACUUGAAGAAAAAGCAUCGGCUAACUCCGUGCCAGCAGCCGCGGUAAUGCGGAUGAUGCGAGCUUUAUCCGGAUUUAUUGGGUUUCAAUGGUGCGUCGGCCGACUGUUAAGUCAGCAGUAAAACCCCGGGGUUCAACCCCGGCGAGCCGUUGAGACUGGCUGUCUUGAGAUGUCGAGAGGUAUGCGGAAUGCGCAGUGUAGCGGUGAAAUGCUUAGAUAUUGCGCAGAAAUCCGAUUGCGAAGGCAGCAUACCGGCGGCGAUCUGACGCUGAGGCACGAAAGCGUGGGUAUCGAACAGGAUUAGAUACCCUAGUAGUC
rnacentral:rRNA from 1 species